AUACCUUCUAACUUACAGCCCAUUAUAUACCCUUCCGUCUAUACAGCCCAUUCCAGAGCUUAUCCGAGUUCAUUCUCCCUCUCCUAACAAGCAUUCAAGUUAUUUCAAUUUCCCCAAUAUUCACAUAAUGGUAAAUGGACUGACUGGAUAUCUUAGUAUAUAUGGGGGGAUUAUUAACUAUCCUUUUAAUAUAACCUUCCAGGCAUCACAUUGAUGUCCGUGAUUUCUUCCCGUUAUGAGGAGCAGUAUUCGUAUUGUCAUUUUGCCUCUACCUCCUGGCUUCCUGUCAACAGCCCACAUCCUCUGGCGGCUGAUCAGGGUGCGUUUUAGAUGCCUAGCCUCCAAAUAUUGCCCUGGCCGUGUGCGACAACCCCCAUUCCUCCCCAACCACACCGCCUAAGCAUACUCUUUCCCCCGCUCCAGGCGGACCCAGCUUUAACACACAACAGGGGAUAAAAAAAGGCAAACAAGAAUACGAAGAAUUUUCCGCAGCUAAGCAAGCACCCCUCCCCACCACGGCACAACUUGCCCAGAAAUUCCCUCGAAAUUCUGUUCUCCCUACUGCAGCGUAGUAUUUCUCGCACCUGCACCCGCCUAUUUCUCCAAGGGAGGCUCGAGUCGACUGCCCCUCCAAGAACUUCCACCUCACCCUUCCCGUUGUGAAAUCUUCCCUCCCAAAGCCGCCCUACACACACACACACACACACACACACACACAUAUAUAUAUAUAUAACAUAU
rnacentral:sRNA from 2 species